rnacentral:rRNA from 1 species
GGGUUGUGAGGUUAAGCGACUAAGCGUACACGGUGGAUGCCCUGGCAGUCAGAGGCGAUGAAGGACGUGCUAAUCUGCGAUAAGCGUCGGUAAGGUGAUAUGAACCGUUAUAACCGGCGAUUUCCGAAUGGGGAAACCCAGUGUGAUUCGUCACACUAUCAUUAACUGAAUCCAUAGGUUAAUGAGGCGAACCGGGGGAACUGAAACAUCUAAGUACCCCGAGGAAAAGAAAUCAACCGAGAUUCCCCCAGUAGCGGCGAGCGAACGGGGAGCAGCCCAGAGCCUGAAUCAGUGUGUGUGUUAGUGGAAGCGUCUGGAAAGGCGUGCGAUACAGGGUGACAGCCCCGUACACAAAAAUGCACAUAUUGUGAGCUCGAUGAGUAGGGCGGGACACGUGGUAUCCUGUCUGAAUAUGGGGGGACCAUCCUCCAAGGCUAAAUACUCCUGACUGACCGAUAGUGAACCAGUACCGUGAGGGAAAGGCGAAAAGAACCCCGGCGAGGGGAGUGAAAAAGAACCUGAAACCGUGUACGUACAAGCAGUGGGAGCACGCUUAGGCGUGUGACUGCGUACCUUUUGUAUAAUGGGUCAGCGACUUAUAUUCUGUAGCAAGGUUAACCGAAUAGGGGAGCCGAAGGGAAACCGAGUCUUAACUGGGCGUUAAGUUGCAGGGUAUAGACCCGAAACCCGGUGAUCUAGCCAUGGGCAGGUUGAAGGUUGGGUAACACUAACUGGAGGACCGAACCGACUAAUGUUGAAAAAUUAGCGGAUGACUUGUGGCUGGGGGUGAAAGGCCAAUCAAACCGGGAGAUAGCUGGUUCUCCCCGAAAGCUAUUUAGGUAGCGCCUCGUGAAUUCAUCUCCGGGGGUAGAGCACUGUUUCGGCAAGGGGGUCAUCCCGACUUACCAACCCGAUGCAAACUGCGAAUACCGGAGAAUGUUAUCACGGGAGACACACGGCGGGUGCUAACGUCCGUCGUGAAGAGGGAAACAACCCAGACCGCCAGCUAAGGUCCCAAAGUCAUGGUUAAGUGGGAAACGAUGUGGGAAGGCCCAGACAGCCAGGAUGUUGGCUUAGAAGCAGCCAUCAUUUAAAGAAAGCGUAAUAGCUCACUGGUCGAGUCGGCCUGCGCGGAAGAUGUAACGGGGCUAAACCAUGCACCGAAGCUGCGGCAGCGACGCUUAUGCGUUGUUGGGUAGGGGAGCGUUCUGUAAGCCUGUGAAGGUGUACUGUGAGGUAUGCUGGAGGUAUCAGAAGUGCGAAUGCUGACAUAAGUAACGAUAAAGCGGGUGAAAAGCCCGCUCGCCGGAAGACCAAGGGUUCCUGUCCAACGUUAAUCGGGGCAGGGUGAGUCGACCCCUAAGGCGAGGCCGAAAGGCGUAGUCGAUGGGAAACAGGUUAAUAUUCCUGUACUUGGUGUUACUGCGAAGGGGGGACGGAGAAGGCUAUGUUGGCCGGGCGACGGUUGUCCCGGUUUAAGCGUGUAGGCUGGUUUUCCAGGCAAAUCCGGAAAAUCAAGGCUGAGGCGUGAUGACGAGGCACUACGGUGCUGAAGCAACAAAUGCCCUGCUUCCAGGAAAAGCCUCUAAGCAUCAGGUAACAUCAAAUCGUACCCCAAACCGACACAGGUGGUCAGGUAGAGAAUACCAAGGCGCUUGAGAGAACUCGGGUGAAGGAACUAGGCAAAAUGGUGCCGUAACUUCGGGAGAAGGCACGCUGAUAUGUAGGUGAAGUCCCUCGCGGAUGGAGCUGAAAUCAGUCGAAGAUACCAGCUGGCUGCAACUGUUUAUUAAAAACACAGCACUGUGCAAACACGAAAGUGGACGUAUACGGUGUGACGCCUGCCCGGUGCCGGAAGGUUAAUUGAUGGGGUCAGCGCAAGCGAAGCUCUUGAUCGAAGCCCCGGUAAACGGCGGCCGUAACUAUAACGGUCCUAAGGUAGCGAAAUUCCUUGUCGGGUAAGUUCCGACCUGCACGAAUGGCGUAAUGAUGGCCAGGCUGUCUCCACCCGAGACUCAGUGAAAUUGAACUCGCUGUGAAGAUGCAGUGUACCCGCGGCAAGACGGAAAGACCCCGUGAACCUUUACUAUAGCUUGACACUGAACAUUGAGCCUUGAUGUGUAGGAUAGGUGGGAGGCUUUGAAGUGUGGACGCCAGUCUGCAUGGAGCCGACCUUGAAAUACCACCCUUUAAUGUUUGAUGUUCUAACGUGGACCCGUAAUCCGGGUUGCGGACAGUGUCUGGUGGGUAGUUUGACUGGGGCGGUCUCCUCCUAAAGAGUAACGGAGGAGCACGAAGGUUGGCUAAUCCUGGUCGGACAUCAGGAGGUUAGUGCAAUGGCAUAAGCCAGCUUGACUGCGAGCGUGACGGCGCGAGCAGGUGCGAAAGCAGGUCAUAGUGAUCCGGUGGUUCUGAAUGGAAGGGCCAUCGCUCAACGGAUAAAAGGUACUCCGGGGAUAACAGGCUGAUACCGCCCAAGAGUUCAUAUCGACGGCGGUGUUUGGCACCUCGAUGUCGGCUCAUCACAUCCUGGGGCUGAAGUAGGUCCCAAGGGUAUGGCUGUUCGCCAUUUAAAGUGGUACGCGAGCUGGGUUUAGAACGUCGUGAGACAGUUCGGUCCCUAUCUGCCGUGGGCGCUGGAGAAUUGAGGGGGGCUGCUCCUAGUACGAGAGGACCGGAGUGGACGCAUCACUGGUGUUCGGGUUGUCAUGCCAAUGGCACUGCCCGGUAGCUAAAUGCGGAAGAGAUAAGUGCUGAAAGCAUCUAAGCACGAAACUUGCCCCGAGAUGAGUUCUCCCUGACUCCUUGAGAGUCCUGAAGGAACGUUGAAGACGACGACGUUGAUAGGCCGGGUGUGUAAGCGCAGCGAUGCGUUGAGCUAACCGGUACUAAUGAACCGUGAGGCUUAACCUUACAACGCCGAAGGUGUUU